rnacentral:rRNA from 1 species
GGUAACAUUUCUAGCUUGCUAGAAGAUGACGAGUGGCGGACGGGUGAGUAAUGCUUGGGAACUUGCCUUUGCGAGGGGGAUAACAGUUGGAAACGACUGCUAAUACCGCAUAAUGUCUUCGGACCAAACGGGGCUUCGGCUCCGGCGCAAAGAGAGGCCCAAGUGAGAUUAGCUAGUUGGUAAGGUAACGGCUUACCAAGGCGACGAUCUCUAGCUGUUCUGAGAGGAAGAUCAGCCACACUGGGACUGAGACACGGCCCAGACUCCUACGGGAGGCAGCAGUGGGGAAUAUUGCACAAUGGGGGAAACCCUGAUGCAGCCAUGCCGCGUGUGUGAAGAAGGCCUUCGGGUUGUAAAGCACUUUCAGUUGUGAGGAAAGGUUAGUAGUUAAUACCUGCUAGCCGUGACGUUAACAACAGAAGAAGCACCGGCUAACUCCGUGCCAGCAGCCGCGGUAAUACGGAGGGUGCGAGCGUUAAUCGGAAUUACUGGGCGUAAAGCGCACGCAGGCGGUUUGUUAAGCUAGAUGUGAAAGCCCCGGGCUCAACCUGGGAUGGUCAUUUAGAACUGGCAGACUAGAGUCUUGGAGAGGGGAGUGGAAUUCCAGGUGUAGCGGUGGAAUGCGUAGAUAUCUGGAGGAACAUCAGUGGCGAAGGCGACUCCCUGGCCAAAGACUGACGCUCAUGUGCGAAAGUGUGGGUAGCGAACAGGAUUAGAUACCCUGGUAGUCCACACCGUAAACGCUGUCUACUAGCUGUGUGUGCCUUUAAGGCGUGCGUAGCGAAGCUAACGCGCUAAGUAGACCGCCUGGGGAGUACGGCCGCAAGGUUAAAACUCAAAUGAAUUGACGGGGGCCCGCACAAGCGGUGGAGCAUGUGGUUUAAUUCGAUGCAACGCGAAGAACCUUACCUACACUUGACAUGCUGAGAAGUUACUAGAGAUAGUUUCGUGCCUUCGGGAACUCAGACACAGGUGCUGCAUGG